AUACGUAGGAUCCGAGCGUUGUCCGGAUUUACUGGGCGUAAAGGGUGCGUAGGCGGCGUGAUAAGUCUCAUGUGAAAUCUCCCGGCUUAACUGGGAGGGGUCAUGGGAUACUGCCAUGCUCGAGGGCAGCAGAGGAGAGCGGAAUUCCGGGCGUAGCGGUGAUAUGCGUAGAUACCCGGAGGAACACCCGUGGCGAAAGCGGCUCUCUGGGCUGUACCUGACGCUAAGGCACGAAAGCGUGGGGAGCAAACCGGAUUAGAUACCCGGGUAGUCC
rnacentral:rRNA from 1 species